CACACCGCCCGUCGCUACUACCGAUUGAAUGGCUCAGUGAGGCCUUCGGACUGGCUCAGGGAGGUUGGCAACGACCACCCCGAGCCGGAAAGUUCGUCAAACUCGGUCAUUUAGAGGAAGUAAAAGUCGUAACAAGGUUUCGAUCCUUCACGCAACACGUGCGGAAGCCUUUGCAGCUGGAAACAGUAAGCUGGAACGACUAUAAACAAAAGCCGGCCUCGUGCAAGUCAGCUAUUAUGCUGGCGACACUUUCGAAUUGCGGGGAUCCCCUAAAACCUCUCCACACCAAGCCAGCGAGGGAAACCUCCUGGUGGCCGGUGGGAAACUACCCGGGUACGGUAAAAGCGGGAGAGGAUGAAGCUGACGGCGCACAGGCGCCGGCAGUGGAAAUGGGCAAUCCGCAGCGAAGCCCCUAAGGUUCGCUGGCUGCAUAAGCCAGUAACCCGGGGAACGUUCACAGACUAAGUGGAAGUGGGUGGAGCGCCAUGCUCUGCUUAAGAUAUAGUCGGGCCCCACGGGAAACCCUGGGGAAAAAGCCGUUCCGUAGGUGAACCUGCGGAAGGAUCAUUAUCGUAGGGCGCUCGCGCCCUUCGAGAUAGCACCCUUUGUUUAUGAGUACCUCUCGUUUCCUCGGCAGGCCCGCCUGCCAACGGGGACCCACAACAAACCCAUUGCAGUAAAAGAAGUACACGUCUGAAAAACAAAACAAACAUUUACAACUUUCAACAACGGAUCUCUUGGUUCUGGCAUCGAUGAAGAACGCAGCGAAAUGCGAUAAGUAGUGUGAAUUGCAGAAUUCAGUGAAUCAUCGAAUCUUUGAACGCACAUUGCGCCCUUUGGUAUUCCGAAGGGCAUGCCUGUUCGAGCGUCAUUUCAACCCUCAAGCCUAGCUUGGUGUUGGGCGUUUGUCCCGCCUCCGCGCGCCUGGACUCGCCUCAAAAGCAUUGGCGGCCGGUUCCCAGCAGGCCACGAAGCGCAGCACAGCAAGCGCUAAAGUGGCUGCGGGUCGGCGCACCAGAAGCCCCCCCCAUAUCAGAAGUUUGACCUCGGAUCAGGUAGGGAUACCCGCUGAACUUAAGCAUAUCAAUAAGCGGAGGAAAAGAAACCAACAGGGAUUGCCCUAGUAACGGCGAGUGAAGCGGCAACAGCUCAAAUUUGAAAUCUGGCCCUCUAGGGGGUCCGAGUUGUAAUUUGCAGAGGGUGCUUUGGCGUUGGCGGCGGUCUAAGUUCCUUGGAACAGGACGUCACAGAGGGUGAGAAUCCCGUAUGUGGUCGCCGGCCUUCGCCGUGUAAAGCCCCUUCGACGAGUCGAGUUGUUUGGGAAUGCAGCUCUAAAUGGGAGGUAAAUUUCUUCUAAAGCUAAAUACUGGCCAGAGACCGAUAGCGCACAAGUAGAGUGAUCGAAAGAUGAAAAGCACUUUGGAAAGAGAGUCAAAAAGCACGUGAAAUUGUUGAAAGGGAAGCGCUUGCAGCCAGACUUGCCUGUAGUUGCUCAGCCGGGCUCCGGCCCGGUGCACUCUUCUGCGGGCAGGCCAGCAUCAGUUCGGGCGGCCGGAUAAAGACCUCUGUCACGUACCUCCCUUCGGGGAGGCCUUAUAGGGGAGGUGAAAUGCGGCCAGUCCGGACUGAGGUCCGCGCAUCUGCUAGGAUGCUGGCGUAAUGGCUGUAAGCGGCCCGUCUUGAAACACGGACCAAGGAGUCUAACAUCUAUGCGAGUGUUUGGGUGUCAAGCCCGAGCGCGUAAUGAAAGUGAACGGAGGUGGGAACCCCUCGGGGUGCACCAUCGACCGAUCCUGAUGUCUUCGGAUGGAUUUGAGUAAGAGCAUAGCUGUUGGGACCCGAAAGAUGGUGAACUAUGCUUGAAUAGGGUGAAGCCAGAGGAAACUCUGGUGGAGGCUCGCAGCGGUUCUGACGUGCAAAUCGAUCGUCAAAUUUGGGCAUAGGGGCGAAAGACUAAUCGAAC
rnacentral:rRNA from 1 species